CGCCAGCUGCGGCCCGGGGUGGCCCGCGGGGCCAGUCGCUCUGGCUGGAGGCGCUGGUCCGCCGGGCGGGGAGGCGGUGGCCUCACAGCCAGGGGACCUGUGAUGAUGUCCCCGCGGCGCGUUAGUGCCCAGGCCGCGGCAGUGCCAGGCUGACCCCUCGGUCCUUAGAGAGGCAAUUUGUGCGGAGGGUUUGGAAUAAAUCCUCCAAGUAGUUUUUCAUUUUAUAAAGGAUGCAUUUUACUCUCUUUCAGGAGAGUCGUGGUGCCCUCUGGUCAAUAUUUGUUCUUUAGUUUCAACAUCCUUAGAAGCAUUAAAACCCUCCCUGUUAAAUAUUCUCCCAAAACGCAACCCUGGUUAGGACAGGAAAUAUUUUAACAGCCUGGUGGUCGCCUACUUACUCUGUGGCACUUCCCUGAAACCACUUUGAAAAACACCUACCGAUUGUUUACGAUGCAGUUUUAUUUCAAACCCACAUUGGAGGUUUGUUUUCAAAACAGCUAAGUUAGAGUUCCAGUAAUCUGAUCAAAGCAGGGAGAAGAUGCAGCUUUAUUUUUUUCUCUUUUGCAGUUUUUGGCUGGGGCUGUAUUUGAACGGGCCACCUCAGCAUAAGGGCUAGUGCCCUACUCCUUUGAGCCACAGGCGCCGCCCAUGCCGGGCUAUUUUUUUGUUGCAGUUUGGCGGGGGCAGGUUUGAACCCGCCACCCUCGUAUGUGGGUCCAGUUGCCCUACCCACUGAGUCACAGGUGCCGCCCAGAUGCAGCUUUUGAUUGAAUGGAAAUUAGUGAUGUGGCAAAGAAUUAUCUUUUCUUAAGAUUCUUAAGAUUCACAGUAUCAACUGUGUCUCUGUUGCCCAAAUUAGAAAUAACCCAUCUAGAUGAACUGGGACGACAUUGCUGCAGCCAGACCUGAACUAAGAGGUGGGGGAAGAGGAAAGUGGCUGCCAAACAGGAAAAAAAAAAAAGAGUUGUUUGAUUUUCAGACCAACCCUUUAUACUCAGGGCACUCUGAGCCCCCUGGAAAGACACCUGUGACUCCCCUCAGCCUCCUAUAACGUCCCACGGAUUCUCUGUCUGCUUUCCACCUUCUUUUUCAAUCCUGUACCCAUUUGAGUUCCAGCAGUGUUUGGGGUGCCAAGGAUGAUGCAUUUAAUUCCUACUACCCCAGAGUUAGAAAAGCCAACUAGGAGAUCAUCUGAUUGGGCCAGUUUUACCAAAGGCUGUAUAAUCUCAGCUUCAGUAAAGUCUUCUCCAGAGCCCGUCCUGCAGGAGCCAUGUGCUUGGCCAUAUGCGUGUGCCUAGGAGUGAACAGCCAAUAAGAGACCCAAAGGUAUUGCCAACAUGGGCCAGAAGUUCUUCCAAGGAGUACCCUGCGGAGGAAGAGCAGUAGAAAUAAUGGAAUUCAGUCAAGGAUAGGAGAGAAAGAAAAGAAUAUUUAUGUAUGUGCUGAAAGGAUUCUAAUAUUUCCCAUUUUUAAAAUCUAUGCUUGAUAAAAUGACAUUGGUUUUCAUCAGUUCAGGAGUCUAUAACAAAGAACCAUAGACGAGGUGGCUUAUAAACAAGAGAAAUUCAUUUUUUACAGUUCUGGAGGCUGGAAGUCUGAAAUUAGGGAGCCUGCAUGGUCAGAGUCUGGUGAUAGCCCAUCUUCUUCCAGGUCACAGGACGGCACCUUCUCCCUGUAUCCUCAUGUGGAGGAAAGAGGGCUAGAGAGCUCCCCGUGUCCCUUUUAUACAGUCCCACUUAUAAGGACUCCUCCCUUGAACUAAUUACCACCCAAAGGUCCCACCUCCUAAUGCCAACACAGAGGGGUUAAGAUUUCAACAAAUACCUUGGGGCGGGGGAUGCAAAUAUUCAAUCCCUAAUAUCAUCCGGUACUCAAGGCAGUUACACCUGUUGACACCUGUUGAUUACUUGCUUUUUCUAACCAAUCAAUUCCCUGCUCCUGUCAAUUGUUGUGACCCAUUUACUAGAUCACAUCUCACAUUCGUCCCUUUCUAUUUCCUUCCCAAGCACCUCACCCGUAGACUACAGAAAUAGCUUUAAAAUCUUUGUUUACAAAUGAAUGAAUUUAUAAAUGGAAAUGAUAGGUGUUAAUUAUAGAUACUUUAGAAAAGUCAAGUAAGCAAAAAGAAGAAAAACGUAUUGUCUUUAAUCUCACCACUUUGAAAUAAGCACAGUUGACAUUUUGAUAUAAAUACCUCUGUAUAUGCGUGUGUGUUAAAGGAAACUGCUGCAAUACAGUUUGUAAUUAACUGCAUAUCAUAAAUAUUUGUUCAUAUCAAUAG